AAUAUUCGACAAUGGGCGAAAGCCUGAUCCAGCCAUGCCGCGUGAGUGAUGAUGGCCCUAGGGUUUUAAUGCUCUUUCAAGGGUGAAGAUAAUGACGGUAACCGUAGAAGAAGACCCGGCUACCUUCGUGCCAGCAGCCGCGGUAAUACGAAGGGGGCUAGCGUUGUUCGGAAUUACUGGGCGUAAAGCUCACGUAGGCGGAUUGUUAAGUGAGGGGUGAAAUCCAAGGGCACAACCCUGGAACUGCCUCUCAUACUGGCAAUCUAGAGUUCGAGAGAGGUGAGUGGAAUUCCGAGUGUAGAGGUGAAAUUCGUAGAUAUUCGGAGGAACACCAGUGGCGAAGGCGGCUCACUGGCUCGAUACUGACGCUGAGGUGCGAAAGCGUGGGGAGCAAACA
rnacentral:rRNA from 1 species